AAAGCGUGCGCAGGCGGUUGUGUAAGUCUGAUGUGAAAGCCCCGGGCUCAACCUGGGAACUGCAUUGGAGACUGCACGGCUAGAGUGCGUCAGAGGGGGGUAGAAUUCCGCGUGUAGCAGUGAAAUGCGUAGAGAUGCGGAGGAAUACCGAUGGCGAAGGCAGCCCCCUGGGAUGACACUGACGCUCAUGCACGAAAGCGUGGGGAGCAAACAGGAUUAGAUACCCUUGU
rnacentral:rRNA from 1 species